UUUAAAAAAACGAAGCAUAUUGUUUGAAAAAGAAGAGAAACAAAUUAUACAUUGGCUUGUAAUCCAAACGAUAUUAUUGGUUCCAGAGAGGAAAAGCAACGGUGGUCGUUUAGAGAGACGAAAAGCGGCCACCACCUCCAUCAUCGCUAAGGCGGAACUGAAAAUUGGAGAGAAAAUAAAUAUCUAACAUAAAGAGAGAGAGAGAGAAGAGAGAGAGAGUUUGGGGGAGGAGGCAACGCAGUUGUAGUGGCAUAUGACAUCGGCAGAGAGGUGGUGGUUACCAAAUUACUUCCUUUUUGCAGCGUAAAGCAUUCUCUCCCCUUUCGUUCUCAUUUUUUUCUUUCGAUUUCAUUUAGCCUGGUAAAAACCUCCUUUUCCUUUAUCCACCAGUUCAUGUGCCCGAUUGGGUUAAUAGGUAUGUUAGAAUUUGAUUAACUUCUUUGAAAUAUAGGGUGAAUUAUGUUAGGGCAUGAAUAGGAAAAACUAUACAUGUUUUCAUUAAGUCGAAAUCUUCUUCCUCUGUCUCAAUUUGACACCUGAAGUCUUCUUUUUCACUACUCGGCCAUCGAUACUAGGAGGUGGUUUGACGAACAGUGGUUGAAGGAUCACAUAAGUUCAAAGCCACACAACCUUAGCUUGGUUCUUUGUUCUUCUUUUUUCUUUUUCUCUCGAGACUUGAUUUGAUUGAAGUUUGGUCAUCAAACAUUAUCGAUUGCAAUGCGUUCCUUGAGGGAAAAAACUUGAGUACAAAGAGCAACGGUGGAUUUAGACACCUACUACACACAAGUUAAACUUAUCUCAACUUUUAUUAUUACAUCAUUUCCCUUCAUUUAUAGUAUUAUUUUAAUAGUUUGAAGUUUGAACUUAACCAAUUAUAUCAAGCAGGAGUAUGUUGAAGCACAUAUUGGACUUAAAACAAGCUGACAAAUGUAUAUAUAGGCAUGGACAAUAUAACAAUUCAAGAAUGUAUUACCUAUUUUCUCAUAAUCACACAAGCUAAAUCUAUUCUUAUCCCCGCAUAAUUUAUCAGGAAUAUCUUAAAUGAAUAUCAACAGCUGGGAUGUAGCCAAAUCAUGGGUUUGAUGGCUAGUUCAACCGUCAACGCCUGAUGGACAUACAAAAUUUCUGAAUAAGAAUCUGAAGUAAUUUGCAAUUUGAUAUCAAUCAUUCGUGGCAGGUAUUAUUUUGUAAGUGUGAUGUGAUUGCCCAACAGCCCAAAUAUCUCAUGCAAAAACGCUUGCAAAGAAACUAUAUCCAUGUUCAUUUGAGUCUAUGUUAUUAAUUUGCAGAAUUAUAGAAAUAGUCUAUGUAAUGCUAAAAUUACAAAAAUAUCCUGUUUCAUUAUAUUUUUCAUGAAAUAGACAAAGUUUUAGAAGGUGUCCCAA